rnacentral:ncRNA from 1 species
GCACUCUGGAGAGUUCCGCAGACACACAGCGGACGCCGAAGGUGUACGGAGCAUAAUGCUCUAAUCUCUCAGGCAAAAGGACAGAGGA